GUUGAUGGCUAUUGUUUUGUUUUUUUCAUAGGUUGGACAUGAUAAUUGGGUACGAGGCGUAAUGUUCCAUCCAGGAGGAAAGUACAUAAUUAGCUGUUCUGAUGAUAAAACACUUAGGAUUUGGGAUUAUAAAAACAAGAGAUGUGCAAAAACGCUGCUGGCUCAUGACCAUUUUGUGACUUGUAUAGAUUUCCACAAGUCUGCUCCGUUCGUCAUCACUGGUAGUGUAGAUAUGACAGCCAAAGUAUGGGAAUGCCGCUAAGGUCAGAACCAAAAACAACAACCAACCACCAAAACAAUAAAAAAUACAGUAAUUCUAGUAAACAAGUGAAGAAAUCCCUAGCAGCUUAUCUUUGAUUCUGUUUUAAGUCAUGCAAAUUGCUUGUACAUUAGGCGGGGAGAAGAGUAAUACCAGAAUUCCUCUCUGGCUGCCGCCUUUAAAUGAGUUACAGAUUAUGAGCUGUUGGAUCUUAUUUUAUUCCCAUGGCCAAUAUUAAGAGGGUAUAUUGAUAUUGGACUGUUGCAGAAGGAGUAGAUGUAUUGAUCUGCCACUGUCAACCUAAAGAGACAUUACACUAUUAUAUUUUGUAUGUUAAAUCCUAGAAUCUACUGAAGCCUGCCGUAGGGUUUGCCAUUAUAUUAAUUAGGUUUAUACACAGUGAAGUAGGAUUAUGGUCACAUGAUGUGACGCCGUGUGACCAUAUUAAAAGAAACAUGUACCUAAGGUUGUUGACGCUUGACACAAGAUCUUUGAUUUGUCGUGACCCCAACCCCACCCCCCAAAGGACCUGUUGCAUAGGCAAUCAGU